rnacentral:rRNA from 1 species
GUACACUCCUGCGGGAGGCAGCAGUGGGGAAUAUUGGACAAUGGGCGCAAGCCUGAUCCAGCCAUGCCGCGUGAGUGAUGAAGGCCCUAGGGUUGUAAAGCUCUUUCACCGGUGAAGAUAAUGACGGUAACCGGAGAAGAAGCCCCGGCUAACUUCGUGCCAGCAGCCGCGGUAAUACGAAGGGGGCUAGCGUUGUUCGGAUUUACUGGGCGUAAAGCGCACGUAGGCGGACUAUUAAGUCAGGGGUGAAAUCCCGGGGCUCAACCCCGGAACUGCCUUUGAUACUGGUAGGCUUGAGUUCGAGAGAGGUGAGUGGAAUUCCGAGUGUAGAGGUGAAAUUCGUAGAUAUUCGGAGGAACACCAGUGGCGAAGGCGGCUCACUGGCUCGAUACUGACGCUGAGGUGCGAAAGCGUGGGGAGCAAACAGGAUUAGAAACCCCAGUAGUCCCAUGA